rnacentral:rRNA from 1 species
UACGAAGGGGGCUAGCGUUGCUCGGAAUCACUGGGCGUAAAGGGUGCGUAGGCGGGUCUUUAAGUCAGGGGUGAAAUCCUGGAGCUCAACUCCAGAACUGCCUUUGAUACUGAAGAUCUUGAGUUCGGGAGAGGUGAGUGGAACUGCGAGUGUAGAGGUGAAAUUCGUAGAUAUUCGCAAGAACACCAGUGGCGAAGGCGGCUCACUGGCCCGAUACUGACGCUGAGGCACGAAAGCGCUGGG